UUCCGGAAACAGAGGGGAGGGCGGGGCGGUUGUGUGAUGUCAUGGCGCGCGCCGCCGCCCCCUGAGAGCUAGGCGGGGGAAGCGGCGCCCGGCCCGCUCGUGCUGGAGUAGCGCGGGGGCGGGGCCAGGUUUGUGUUGAAGGGGGAAUAAAAGCCUCGUUCGGAAAGGGACUAAAGCGAAGCGGGGUCAGGCGGAGGAAGUCACGCGUGUGUCGCGGCUCUGGAGCCGUUACAAAAAAAAAAAAAAAAAAAAGAGGAAAUUGCCCAACCACUCCCCCACCCCCAUUCCCCUGCAGAUAAAUAAUGUGCUUCACGGACCAUAGAUUAAACCUGGGCCAUUUUGCGGAUAUCUCCACUAGUGUAUCCAGUGCAUACAAACAGAAACCUUCAUAUAGCUGUAGCAAAAAUGGGAGUUCCAUAAAGGUAUUCCAAAAUGGACUUCAUCAGCAGAUUGAGAAGCUGGAGACGUGUUUGAGUGCUGAGAUGGAAAAGGAGAUAACCUGCCCAGGAAAUGAGAACCUCCUGCUCACCAGCCUCAAACUGAAGAGAUACUUCCAGACAAUAGACGAUUUCCUGAAAGAAAAGCAAUACAGCCGGUGUGCUGGGAGAUCAUCCGUGCGGAAAUAUCCAGAUGUUUUCUCAUUCUUGACGUACUGACAAAUCGGCUUAAAAACGAAGCACGUGAUGCUUCAAGUAAUGAUGUUAUGAAAACCGCUGAGUGACACUGCACUUCCAUUGGAGUCCGUUGUCUCUAAGUUGAUUCUGCAAGCACUGCCUUUCGAGACUCUUAUCAAUUCAUUUUGCAUUAAGCAAGUGACUAACUCUACUACAGGUUUCAGAGUAACAGCCGUGUUAGUCUGUAUUCGUAAAAAGAAAAGGAGUACUUGUGGCACCUUAGAGACUAACCAGUUUAUUUGAGCAUGAGCUUUCGUGAGCUACAGCUCACUUCA